UUAGUUUCAUAGGGAGGUGGAGUUUCUAUGGGACUUCUCCCAUGUCCCUCAAAAGAUGAACACUUUUUGUCAUUUUUUUUUACUCAUUACAUGUCGGGAGAAGGCCUGUUUCUUUCAAUCAUAAAUAUGUCCUGCAAAACAUUACUGUUAUAAUUUAUGUUGAAAAAUGAUUUUAUUUUUCUCAUAAAAUCUCUUCAUCUAUACCAUAGUGUUCAAUCAAAUAAUUUAACACAUAUAUACAU
rnacentral:lncRNA from 1 species